ensembl:lncRNA
CUGUUUUCCAAGUUUUGUUUUUUGUUUGUUUGUUUAAAUAAUAAAAAUUUGUUUCACACAGUUCUAACUUUUGUUUUAUAAAUAUCAGGUAAGGCAUUCCCACUAGUGUUGUGAUAGUGGUACUCAGGCCCAAAGCCUCAGAGCCUCUCUGGACGCUUCAGUCAAUGUCUUAUAACAUAAAGUCAAGAAGUCCUUUGUCUCCCUGAAGAUCAGUUCUCAGAAGCUUGAUUUUGCCUUGAAGCCAAUGACAGACCAAGUACUAGCAGUAGAGCAGAAAGAAAUCAAGUACUGGGAAACAAAACCAAACCAAAUAGAAAGCUCCAUACUCACAGAUGUAGAUGGGACACAGAGGCUAGAGUAUCCAUCUUGUACUGGACCUGCUGCAGAAAAGCCCUGAUAGACCCAUUGCUACCAUCUAACCCAGGCCUCCUAGUCUAGCUCUGCCUUAUUUUGUCUGCCUGGGAUGUUCGGAUUCCUGCAUCAUCACGGGUGGACAUUUUUACUCCAUCGUAUCAUUAGGGCCAGUUGGAAGACUCAGAAAUCUCUCAAGACUCCAGACCCAAGGAUACUUCACCAGCUUAACCGUAAGUCACAGUUUGACCAAGAGACUCCCAGAUUUAGCAACAUUAUCUUGUUCAUGCUUGUUAUCAAAGCAUGAUUGUUAAACAUACACGCUUACACUCUCAAACGUUUCCUAGUUAUAAUAAUAAAAGCAAAUGGUCACUGUAACUGAACCAGUCUGGGACAUAGAAUAGGAAUUUAAGACGUCUGAACUGAGAUGAAUAAAUCUAAGAAAUUUACAGAGCAGAACACAGUAAAUGCAUUGUAAAAUAUUUUUCUUUUUUUGGUUUUGUUUUGUUUUGUUUUGUUUUUUUGAGAUGGAGUCUUGCUGUGUCACCCAGGCUGGAGUGCAGUGAUGUGAUCUCGGUUCACUGCCAUCUCCACCCCCCAGGUUCAAGCAAUUCUCCUGCCUCAGCCUCCUGAGUAGCUAGGACUACAGGCGCGUGCCACCAUAUCUGGCUAAUUUUUGUAUUUUUAGUAGAGACGGGGUUUCACUAUGGUAACCAGGCUGGUCUGGAACUCCUGAUCUCAGGUGAUCUGAUCCCCUGGGCUGACCAAAGUGCUGGGAUUACAGGUGUGAGAUACUGCGCCCGGCCAGAAAAUAAUUUUUCUUGAACAGGUUUCUGUAUCCUUAGAUUUAUCCUUCAUUCUUCUUGAGCUUUAUGGUAUUUUCAACAUUAAAUGCUACUUUUUUAUUUUAUGAAAAAAGAAGUAUAAGGAACAAACGUAUUUUAGCCUAAUAUAUUCUCUUAAUAGCAAUCUUUAAAUUGUUUAUAGAGAGACAAAAACCUCUAACAAUAUUAAUAGCCAGAAUUUAACCUUCUUAAGUAUAAGAACUAAACUUCACACUAAUAAUACAUAGAAUUUUUUAGUUGAAAUUGUAGGCAAGUCCCCAUAAAAAUCAAGACUCUAAAACAAUACAGUUAAGCAACCACAAGGGAGCAUCUUGAAGCAGAGAGAAGUGUGGAUUCUAUAGCCAGAAAACCUGGUUUAGAAUCAUGGCUCUGCCACUUAAAAAUGGUGUAAUGGAUGAGAGAGUAAACCCCUCUGAAGGUACAUUUUCUUAUCUGUAAAUGAUAAUAUAUUUUUAAAAUCAACUUAAUAGAACUUCUGUACAUAUUCAAUGCAUUUAUACUUGAAAAGAGCAUGUAAAAAUGCUUUGAAAAAGUACGUGUUUGUUAAAAAUAAAUAGCAAUAAAGAGGGUUAUCUACCCAUAACAACCCAAUAAGAUAGGUUUCCCCCUCUCUCAUUUUAUUUUUCUUUAUAUUUAUAUGCAGAUCAAUUCACUAUUUGAAGAAGCCUGAGUCAUUCUGCCCUGUGACGCAGUUGCUUAGCUUAUUCCAGGACCUGGCAAAACACCAGCUACCAAUCAAUAUAAAUUGCUGAAAAUAAAGUCUCAAAAGAUAGAACUAGGUUCGGUGUUCUGUCUCCUCUGCCAUCUCAGGACAAUGAAGCAUAGUGAGGGACCAGCCGAUUAUUUAAGAUUGAUAAGUUUUACUUAUUCAUUUUAUCCUGAUAGCAAACAUAAGAUUUCAGAAUUAAAGGCACACUAUGAUUACUAUACUUACAGAAACAACCACAUGCAUUAUUCCCCGUGCAUCCUUCUUCCCUCAGAAUGAUAAGAUGAGUGCUACAGGGAUCCGUGCAUGCAGAAAGUUUGUUGCACCAUAGAAGAGGAAUUCCAAAUUCAAAAUCUAGGAGUUAUACAGGGACUGCGGCUUCCUUUCUCUUCUCCCAAAAAAAGAAGAGAAACCAUAUUUCCCUAAGAUAAGUAAACCUUCUGUGGGGAGAGAAGAGGAAUUUAAAGGAAUGUCUCUGAGUUCUCUCUCCCUUCAUAACAUGAACACACAGCUCUAAAGGGAACUGAAUACUCUGAAUUUUGCUGAAACUCUCUUGCUCUCCCAGGGUUGCUAUUCAGUAUGAAUCUCCGGAGUUGCCGUGCCAGUCUGCUCUCAGUUUAUUUGCUCAGAAAACCCUAACCACGAAGAAACGUAGACAUACGUCUUCAACAAUUCCACAAAGUUCUUUCAUAGCACUACAUUUUCUCAUAUGAUGAAUAUUCUCUUUACAUGUUAACUCAUGACCAUAGAAUUGGGAACAUAAAUCUUCAAAAUCGCUUCACCUAGCAUUAAUUUCUAGAACUGUUUUGGAGAUCUGUUUUUAAUAACUUACAUGAGAUGUAGAUAGAUAUCAGAUUUGUUAUGUGUUUCUUAAUAUUUCUGGGGUCUCAUAUCCCAUCUUUAAGAUAUCUUACUUUGCCAAAUGAUCUUGCAACCCCUUCUGUGUUUACUCAUUUUUUUAAAUAAAUAGUAAAUGGUUCUCACAUGAUUGUAUAUGAAGAUUGGGACACAAUUUAUGACCUUUGAGAGAGUUGUAAGCAUGGAAAUACGGAGAUUCUAUGAAUUGUGGUGAGGAGUAGUCACAUUGAACCGGAAGAAAUUCCAGUUGUAGCUGAACCCACCAAACCUUAGAGUGAGAGAAGUAUGUAGCUGUUGUUUGAAUGUAUAUAGGAAAUUCCUUUUUGUAUUAGGGGAUAUGUGAGUUUUUUAUAUCCUAAAAGGUAAUAGCAAAAAGUAAGAAUGUGAGGAUAGUUGAUAAAUAAAUCAAAAUAUAGAGGGGAAAGGGAAUAAAUUAAAUGGGUAAAAGUGAGUGGAAAAUGAAUAAUCAUAAUGUGAUGAUUAAGUAAGUUAUUAGCUUGAAGGUUUAAAAUAUAGUCCAAGUUUUAUUUGGAAC